CACUCUUCUCUCAGCGGGCGCUCCACGGCCCUGCUCUGGGCUCGCCUGAGUGCUGGGCUCUGCAGACGCAGGGAUGGGCCAGGCGAGCCCCUCACCACGGAGGUAGCAGGUCCAGAGGAAGCAGCAGAGGCUUCCUGGAGGAGGAUUUGUACCCCUAGGAGGACUAUGUCUUCCUCAUCUUUGUCUUCAGAGGAUAAAUACAAGGCCUGACACAUAACAAGCAUGAGAUUAAUUUACCCGAGGUCAACCACGGUCCAAAGAUAUUAAAUGGAAAAUUCCAGAAAUAAACAAUGUGUAAGUUUUCAGUUGCAUGCUAUUCUGAGUAGCAGGAUGAAAUCUCGUGCUGUCCGGCUUCGUCCCACCUGGGAUGUGAAUCAUCCCUUUGUCCAGUGGAUCCGCGCUAUAGACACUACUCUCCCAUCAGUCACUCAGCAGCUGCUUCAGUUCCCAGAUCAACUGUCGCAGGAUCGCAGUGCUUCUGUUCAAGUAAUCCUUAUUUUACUUCAUUAUGGGCUCCAAAGCACAAGAGGAGUGUUGCUGGUGAUUCCGAUAUGCCAAAGGAAAGCU
rnacentral:lncRNA from 10 species